rnacentral:misc_RNA from 1 species
AAGCACGUGUAAACGCACCUACGCCUGCACUUCGUCAGGUUUAUGUCCCUCUGCCGUUUUCGCCCUGCCGAGCCGUGCCAGCAACGCGGAACGAGAAGGCUGAGGUAGGAACGGAAAGAAUAGUGCGAAGAGAUAGAUCAAGGCUCGCGUAUGGUGUUGCGGACGCCGACCACCACCACGCCGCUGCCGACGCAGCAGCAGCAGCAGCAUCACCAGUCACAGCAGAGCUACUUCCAUGCGAACGUGACGGCGCUGCGGAGCCUGCAGCACCGGAUGCAGCUGCGGGCGGAAGCGGCACAGGUGCUGCACACUGAUCCAUCAUCUUCUUCGCUCGGUAAAAGUAGCCUGCCAGCGUCGCCAGCACAGCACCGCCACUGCCAAUGCGGCGCUGCUCGUCCUGCGCCAUUGCCUUCCUCUCCAUCAAAGCCGACCGCAGCGCAGACAGCACCAGCGAGCCCUGAUGCGCCCUUCUCUCUUUGGUCACCACAGCUGCACGCAGCUGUUUUACGAGUCGCAGACUUGGGUGAAGUGGAUAUCACCGCCGGGGCGUACUGCACGGCGCGGGGCACGACGCGGCGAACAGCAACGGCGCAACUGCCAGAGAUGAGCCACCUUGGCAGUGUAGUCGGUAAUGGAGAAGGCGUGCCAGCUGCAGGAAGCUCGCCAGGGGGGUGCGGCGCCUGCACAUGUCGAGGCUGUGGCUGUCUCGAUGGGCCCAACGCAAGUAGGGAGGAACAGCAGUGUCGUAAUCACCGCCGGCAUCGCAGCAGUCAUCACAAGCGGCACGGCCGUAGCAGCGGCAGAAGGCGCCGUGAUGACUCGGUCGGCUCCUGCCCGCCUUCUUCUCCCGGUCCGUCCAAGUCCGCCGCCGCAGCAACGGCUCGGCUGCCAAGCGCCGUUUCGCUCCUUGCGACGGCUUCCAAUGCGUCACCAGUUGCGUCUCCGUUUCGUGACCAGGAAGUGCUGGAGCGCAUCAUGGCCAAGUACCGCACCCCUCCAACACCGCCCGCGGAGCCAGCGCAACAGCAGCCGCUGCAUAUCUUCCUCCAUUGCGGAUGUGAAAAGACGGGAGCAGCGCCUGAUAUCACAGCAUUGGCGGGGACUUAUGCCUCAGCAGCCACAUUAGUGGCCCCAGGGCCGACAGCGAAGACAGCGACAGCCUCCACUCCUGCCUCAUCCCCGCCAUCAGCCGCGUCCGUCCCGCCGCCACCACCAGCCGCGUCCGUCCCUCCACCACCACCAGCCGUGUCCGUCCCACCGCCACCACCACCAGCCGCAUCCGUCCCGCCGCCGCCGCCAGCCGCGUCCGUCCCUCCACCACCACCAGCCGUGUCCGUCCCACCGCCACCACCACCAGCCGCGUCCGUCCCUCCACCACCACCAGCCGUGUCCGUUCCGCCGCCACCGCCAUCAGCCGCAUCCGUCCCGCCGCCGCCGCCAGCGGCAUCCGUCCCUCCACCACCACCACCACCAGCCGCAUUCGUCCCUCCACCACCGCGGAGUGCGUCUGCGCUUAAAACCCCGCCGGCGAUUGCCGGUGCACCGUCAAGGUCGCGGUCUCCUACUGCGCCGGCCCACUCCGCGAUAGACAAGGAGCGGCAGAUGCUGCUGGAGAAGGCUGACAAAUACGUCUGGCAACUUGAGCAGGAGGUGCAGCACCGCGCCCUUCAUUAUAACGUCGUGCUGCAGCAGCUAGCGGAGGAGGAGGCACGCAGCGCAGCUCUACGCCACGACCGCGACGCACUCCUGGAGCUUAACGGCGGCCUGCAAGCCUCUCUGAACUACACUGGAGGUAGCAGCAACUCACGGAGGCGACACCGGCACGGACACUCUACCUCCUCCUCCUCUACGUCAACCUGUGAAGCGACGGCAAGGCCAUCGCCUCAGGGUGCAAGUGAAUCAAACAAAAAAGGUCUGCCACCGCCACAGCAACAGCAGCAGCAGCAGCCGGCGCGUCGUCUCCCACCAGCGGUUGAGUCCGUCUACGCCUCUCUGCAGAUCCCCGCGGAUGCUGGUGCAGCAGCCGCACCAUCGGCGGCGCCGUCAACAUCUGCCACCUAUGUACCAGCAUCCACCGCAACUGCGGCAACAGGAGAAGGUCGCGCGAGCGCGACGCAAGAAGUGCUCCGACACGUACUGCUUGAGCGUGAAGCGGCACUGCAGUCGUCGCCGCGGCCCAGCAUGGCGAAAGCGGUGAUGGGCACGCCGAACAGCGUGCCUUACCAUGGCUACUCCGACGAACUGCGCCGCUACGUGGAUCGCCUUUAUCAGGAAGCAGAGGCUGGCGCCGCUCAUGUGCGGCAGGCAAGUCUGCCCUCGGUGAUUCCAACGGGUGCCGCCGCAGCGGCAUCGUCCCUCGCACCCUCACUUGAGCUACCAGCCUACCAGCUGCAGCAGAGGCAACGCCAGUCGGAGCUAGAGCAGCUCCGGGCAGAGGUAGCGGUAGAGGGGGAGCGCAUGAGGGCCGAUGCGCAGCGGUGGCGCGCCUACCUUCAACAACAGCAACAGCAACGGCUUUGAAGCUCCCCUUUCCCCGACGGCGCAUACAUCUCUCUCGCUGAUGGGCUGAUUUUUUCGUCUCGCCUGCCUCGCCUGUUUUGCAUGCAUCUUGCGCUGUACGCAAACUCGAAGCACUGCCGCACAUGCACAAUCCUCUUCUCCCUCACCACCCGCGCUCAGCUUCGCCUUUUCACAGGGGUGGCAUAGAUGAUAGAUGGGCGCGCCCCCUUCUCGCUCUCGUCCCUUCGCUUCUCGCUCGCUCUCGGUGAUCCGCCGCCGCCGCCGUCUCCCUCCCUUCUUUAGUUUUUGUCAGGCGACAGCAAGAGCGAUGACAGUAUGGCGUGCGGAUGUGUAGUGUCAUACACAUAGAUAUAUAUGUUUGCAUGUACAUGUGUACACACACAUUAUAUGUGUGUGUGUGUGUGCGUGUGUAUGCCUGCGCACUUUUUUCUGCGUUUCCCAG